CCUACGGGAGGCAGCAGUGAGGAAUAUUGGUCAAUGGACGAGAGUCUGAACCAGCCAAGUAGCGUGAAGGAUGACUGCCCUAUGGGUUGUAAACUUCUUUUAUAUGGGAAUAAAAUGUUCCACGUGUGGGAUUUUGUAUGUACCAUAUGAAUAAGGAUCGGCUAACUCCGUGCCAGCAGCCGCGGUAAUACGGGGGAUCCGAGCGUUAUCCGGAUUUAUUGGGUUUAAAGGGAGCGUAGGUGGAUUGUUAAGUCAGUUGUGAAAGUUUGCGGCUCAACCGUAAAAUUGCAGUUGAAACUGGCAGUCUUGAGUACAGUAGAGGUGGGCGGAAUUCGUGGUGUAGCGGUGAAAUGCUUAGAUAUCACGAAGAACUCCGAUUGCGAAGACAGUUCACUGGACUGCAACUGACACUGAGGCUCGAAAGUGUGGGUAUCAAACAGGAUUAGAUACCCCGGUAGUC
rnacentral:rRNA from 1 species